rnacentral:misc_RNA from 1 species
AAGUCGUAACAAGGUCUCCGUAGGGGAACCUGCGGAGGGAUCAUUUCCAUUUAAACAAAGAAGAGUACCUUUAAAGUUUGAAUCUCUUUUCGGAGGGGUUUGGAUUGAAAAGGGAAAUUUGAAAAGUUGGUUGUGUUCCUUUAUUUCUUUGAAAAAACAAGGGGGUUUGAAUCUUUGGGGAAUAGCCAUCUUCAUUGGUGGUUUUUUCCCAAGGGUUUCUCUCUCUCUAUUUUUCAAUGUUAAACCAUGAUCAAAGUAUCCUUAACUUGAUGGCUUAUUUACUUUUUUGUAAAAGAAAAAGAUAAAAAAGAACAACUAUCAACGGCGGAUCUCUUGGUUCGU